GUACUAAUUAAUGACUGAAGAUAGCCUAAGCAGUGAGCACGUACAAAAUAAAGAGACUAAUUAAGCACAUGUUCUGCAUAUUUUUUUUCGUUAGUAUUAACUUAAUUAAUUAGUGAUGGAAACUGAACAAUUGAAGGCUAACUCUAAUUCUUCGUCUGCAAGCUCAAUUACUGGAGCAAAACAGAAAAUUUAGAGGAAACACUUUUCAACCAGUACAUGAUGUGCUACCGAAUUCGUCCCUGACGGAAAGGGAAAAUGAGCUGGCAGUGGGAUUCAAGAAGUACGAAAAGGGGAAAAAUGGGCUUCCAGUUCUACAACGGAAACAAAAAGGAAAAGAAAAUCUUAGUAAGCCUUGCAAUCAGCUUUUCUGUUGCAUGAUGAAAAAAUGGCAUAGUUAUUAUAUCUGUCCCAUCGAACAAGACUUGGAGGAAUUAUCCAGAAUGUCACUAGAUUCUUCAAAGGACGGGAUAUCUGUGGAGGCUACUGCUUGUGUGUGAAGAGUGGAAAGUUCCUGAAACAUUUUCAAAGUAGUGUUCCCGAUGGAAAAUCUAUCAAGGUAACUUAGUUGUAAUGCAAAACUUACAAAUAAACAAAAUAAAUGUCA
rnacentral:misc_RNA from 1 species